rnacentral:tRNA from 1 species
UCCCUGGUAGUAUAUCGGUUAGUACACGCGCCUGUCAUAGAUAUGCAUAAAGCGUGUCCGCGCGAAAGCUGGGUUCGACUCCCAGCCAGGGAG